UACGAAGGGGGCUAGCGUUGCUCGGAAUUACUGGGCGUAAAGCGCACGUAGGCGGUUUCUUAAGUCGGGGGUGAAAUCCUGGAGCUCAACUCCAGAACUGCCUUUGAUACUGAAGAUCUUGAGUUCGGGAGAGGUGAGUGGAACUGCGAGUGUAGAGGUGAAAUUCGUAGAUAUUCGCAAGAACACCAGUGGCGAAGGCGGCUCACUGGCCCGAUACUGACGCUGAGGCACGAAAGCGUGGGGAGCAAACAGG
rnacentral:rRNA from 1 species